CCGAUCUGUUUCCCAGUCACGAUAGAGUUCGGGAUACUGCCUGAUGGAGGGGGAUAACGUAGCGAAAGUUACGCUAAUACCGCAUACGAUCUGAGGAUGAAAGCGGGGGACCUUCGGGCCUCGCGCGAUUGGAGCGGCCGAUGUCGGAUUAGCUAGUUGGUGAGGUAAAGGCUCACCAAGGCGACGAUCCGUAGCUGGUCUGAGAGGACGACCAGCCACACUGGAACUGAGACACGGUCCAGACUCCUACGGGAGGCAGCAGUGGGGAAUUUUGGACAAUGGGCGAAAGCCUGAUCCAGCCAUGCCGCGUGAGUGAAGAAGGCCUUCGGGUUGUAAAGCUCUUUCAGACGGAAAGAAAUCUCCUGGGUGAAUAUCCCGGGAGGAUGACGGUACCGUAAGAAGAAGCACCGGCUAACUACGUGCCAGCAGCCGCGGUAAUACGUAGGGUGCGAGCGUUAAUCGGAAUUACUGGGCGUAAAGCGUGCGCAGGCGGUUGCAUAAGACAGAUGUGAAAUCCCCGGGCUCAACCUGGGAACUGCGUUUGUGACUGUGCGACUGGAGUACGGUAGAGGGGGGUGGAAUUCCUGGUGUAGCAGUGAAAUGCGUAGAUAUCAGGAGGAACAUCGAUGGCGAAGGCAGCCCCCUGGACCUGUACUGACGCUCAUGCACGAAAGCGUGGGGAGCAAACAGGAUUAGAUACCCUGGUAGUCCACGCCCUAAACGAUGUCGACUAGUUGUUCGGGAAGGUGACUUCUUGAGUAACGUAGCUAACGCGUGAAGUCGACCGCCUGGGGAGUACGGCCGCAAAGUUAAAACUCAAAGGAAUUGACGGGGACCCGCACAAGCGGUGGAUGAUGUUGUUAUCGUGACUGGG
rnacentral:rRNA from 1 species